UACGGAGGAUCCAAGCGUUAUCCGGAUUUAUUGGGUUUAAAGGGUGCGUAGGCGGCCAGUUAAGUCAGGGGUGAAAGACGGUAGCUCAACUAUCGCAGUGCCUUUGCUACUGAUUGGCUUGAAUGUACUUGAGGUAGGCGGAAUGUGACAAGUAGCGGUGAAAUGCAUAGAGAUGGCACAGAACACCAAUUGCGAAGGCAGCUUACGAAAGUAUGAUUGACGCUGAGGCACGAAAGCGUGGGGAUCAAACAGG
rnacentral:rRNA from 1 species